GGGGGCAAGCGUUGUUCGGAAUUACUGGGCGUAAAGGGCUCGUAGGUGGCCAACUAAGUCGGACGUGAAAUCCCUCAGCUUAACUGGGGAACUGCGUCCGAUACUGGAUGGCUUGAGUUUGGGAGAGGGAUGCGGAAUUCCAGGUGUAGCGGUGAAAUGCGUAGAUAUCUGGAGGAACACCGGUGGCGAAGGCGGCAUCCUGGACCAACACUGACACUGAGGAGCGAAAGCGUGGGGAGCAAACAGG
rnacentral:rRNA from 1 species